UGUUCGAAUGAACCAAUUAGGCAAGGGAGACGGGACUAGAGGGUUUUCAAACGACACCACUUUGGGUCGUAGCGGAGGGAUCGACAGGGAAUCUGGCCAAUGAGGAGGGCUCGUUUGUCUUCGCAGUGCAGAAAACUCGGUGGACCGCGCGGUGGAGAUAUUCUGGCCUUCCCAGAUCACUUCUAAGGAUGGUGGGGGUGCAGUGACGUCAGGUGCUCCUACAUCCACGUGCCUCACCUGAGAGCAGCAGAAGGGUGGGAACCAGAUGGUUAAACUGAAGCUGAGGAAAGGGAAGUGGCCACAAAGCUGGCAAGGAGCACAGCUGGCUGCACUGGAGAUAUAAAACUGGAUCCUGGCCAGCCCGACUGCAGAUGGACUCUCCUCUCUCCACCCCUUUCCCCUGCCUGGGUGUUCACUUCUGGAGCCGUACAUCCUAAGGGAAGGACUCAGGCUCUCUGAGUCCUUCUGGACCAGCCUCUCUCUGCAUUGUGGGGUCUCUAGGGAGAUCCUCACUCUCUUGAUCUAGUCUCUCCAAGUGUGGGGCCCUGCUGGGCAAGGAGGCAGCCAUACCGAUGGGCCAUUGCUCAGCCCAACACCUGGGAUGAUUGUGGAGGAUGCUGUACCUGGGGCCUGGACGUCAGCUGACAUAGUGGGAGCUGAGCUCCCUACUCAGUGUGGGUGGUCAGGGAGGCCAGGGCGCGGCUGGGCAGCCCAAGUUAUGGGGAGGCCUGGGCCAAUGUCGUCUCUGCUCUGCUCCCUGCACCCGGCUUGUGCUGUGCAGCAUAGUCUUUUGUCCUUGACACUUGUUUAGAAUGCUCAUGACAGCUGUUUUGGAAGGCAGUAAAACAGAGGGGUUAAUCAUACAGACUCUGGAGCCAGAGGCUGGGUUCACAUCCCUGUUCUUCCACUUACUUGCUGUGUGACCUUGAAUAAGUUACAUACCUCUCUGGGUUACAUACCUCAGUUUCCCUGUCUUAAAAAGGGGAUAUUGGGGUU